rnacentral:rRNA from 1 species
UACGGGGGGGGCAAGCGUUGUUCGGAAUUACUGGGCGUAAAGGGCUCGUAGGCGGGUCUUUAAGUCAGGGGUGAAAUCCUGGAGCUCAACUCCAGAACUGCCUUUGAUACUGAGGAUCUUGAGUUCGGGAGAGGUGAGUGGAACUGCGAGUGUAGAGGUGAAAUUCGUAGAUAUUCGCAAGAACACCAGUGGCGAAGGCGGCUCACUGGCCCGAUACUGACGCUGAGGCGCGAAAGCGUGGGGAGCAAACAGG